GAUGAACGCUGGCGGCGUGCCUAAUACAUGCAAGUCGAGCGAACGGACGAGAAGCUUGCUUCUCUGAUGUUAGCGGCGGACGGGUGAGUAACACGUGGAUAACCUACCUAUAAGACUGGGAUAACUUCGGGAAACCGGAGCUAAUACCGGAUAAUAUUUUGAACCGCAUGGUUCAAAAGUGAAAGACGGUCUUGCUGUCACUUAUAGAUGGAUCCGCGCUGCAUUAGCUAGUUGGUAAGGUAACGGCUUACCAAGGCAACGAUGCAUAGCCGACCUGAGGGGGUGAUCGGCCACACUGGAACUGAGACACGGUCCAGACUCCUACGGGAGGCAGCAGUAGGGAAUCUUCCGCAAUGGGCGAAAGCCUGACGGAGCAACGCCGCGUGAGUGAUGAAGGUCUUCGGAUCGUAAAACUCUGUUAUUAGGGAAGAACAUAUGUGUAAGUAACUGUGCACAUCUUGACGGUACCUAAUCAAAAAGCCACGGCUAACUACGUG
rnacentral:rRNA from 1 species